GACAGAGGGUGCAAACGUUGUUCGGAAUUACUGGGCGUAAAGCGUGUGUAGGCGGCUAUGUAAGUCGGAUGUGAAAGCCCCGGGCUCAACCCGGGAAGUGCACUCGAUACUGCGUAGCUUGAGUACUGGAGAGGUUGGUGGAAUUCUCGGUGUAGAGGUGAAAUUCGUAGAUAUCGAGAGGAACACCGGUGGCGAAGGCGGCCAACUGGACGGUGACUGACGCUGAGACGCGAAAGCGUGGGGAGCAAACAGG
rnacentral:rRNA from 1 species